AGUUCGUUAGUUCAGUGGUAGAAUAGCCGAUUGUCUGUCGGAGGGUCACGGGUUCGAGUCCCGUACGAACUG
rnacentral:tRNA from 1 species